rnacentral:rRNA from 1 species
GGGGGGGGGGGGCGGGGGGCGGAGCACGGGGAGGGCGAGCGGAAAGGCCCGGCGUGGGGGGGGGGCGCGGGGGGCGAACGGGUGAGUAACACGUGAGUAACCUGCCCUUGACUUUGGGAUAACUUCAGGAAACUGGGGCUAAUACCGGAUAGGAGCUCCUGCUGCAUGGUGGGGGUUGGAAAGUUUCGGCGGUUGGGGAUGGACUCGCGGCUUAUCAGCUUGUUGGUGGGGUAGUGGCUUACCAAGGCUUUGACGGGUAGCCGGCCUGAGAGGGUGACCGGCCACAUUGGGACUGAGAUACGGCCCAGACUCCUACGGGAGGCAGCAGUGGGGAAUAUUGCACAAUGGGCGGAAGCCUGAUGCAGCAACGCCGCGUGCGGGAUGACGGCCUUCGGGUUGUAAACCGCUUUCGCCUGUGACGAAGCGUGAGUGACGGUAAUGGGUAAAGAAGCACCGGCUAACUACGUG